AUUGAACGCUGGCGGCAGGCUUAACACAUGCAAGUCGAGCGGGGUGAUGGUGCUUGCACUAUCACUUAGCGGCGGACGGGUGAGUAAUGCUUAGGAAUCUGCCUAUUAGUGGGGGACAACGUCUCGAAAGGGAUGCUAAUACCGCAUACGUCCUACGGGAGAAAGCAGGGGAUCACUUGUGACCUUGCGCUAAUAGAUGAGCCUAAGUCGGAUUAGCUAGUUGGUGGGGUAAAGGCCUACCAAGGCGACGAUCUGUAGCGGGUCUGAGAGGAUGAUCCGCCACACUGGGACUGAGACACGGCCCAGACUCCUACGGGAGGCAGCAGUGGGGAAUAUUGGACAAUGGGGGGAACCCUGAUCCAGCCAUGCCGCGUGUGUGAAGAAGGCCUUAUGGUUGUAAAGCACUUUAAGCAAGGAGGAGGCUCUUUUGGUUAAUACCCAAGAUGAGUGGACGUUACUCGCAGAAUAAGCACCGGCUAACUCUGUGCCAGCAGCCGCGGUAA
rnacentral:rRNA from 1 species